rnacentral:rRNA from 1 species
CCUACGGGAGGCAGCAGUAGGGAAUAUUGCUCAAUGGGGGAAACCCUGAAGCAGCAACGCCGCGUGGAGGAUGAAGGUUUUCGGAUUGGAAACUCCUUUUGUUAGAGAAGAGAAUGACGGUAUCUAACGAAUAAGCACCGGCUCACUCCGUGCCAGCAGCCGCGGUAAUACGGAGGGUGCAAGCGUUACUCGGAACCACUGGGCGUAAAGAGCGCGUAGGCGGGAUAGCAAGUCAGAUGUGAAAUCCUAUGGCUUAACCAGAGAACUGCAUUUGAAACUGUUAGUCUAGAGUAUGGGAGAGGUAGGUGGAAUUCUUGGUGUAGGGGUGAAAUCCGUAGAGAUCAGGAGGAAUACUCAUUGCGAAGGCGACCUGCUAGAACAUAACUGACGCUGAUGCGCGAAAGCGUGGGGAGCAAACAGGAUUAGAUACCCGAGUAGUC